GACGAACGCUGUGCGGCGUGCUUAACACAUGCAAGUCGAACGGAAAGGCCCUGCUUUUGUGGGGUGCUCGAGUGGCGAACGGGUGAGUAACACGUGAGUAACCUGCCCUUGACUUUGGGAUAACUUCAGGAAACUGGGGCUAAUACCGGAUAGGAGCUCCUGCUGCAUGGUGGGGGUUGGAAAGUUUCGGCGGUUGGGGAUGGACUCGCGGCUUAUCAGCUUGUUGGUGGGGUAGUGGCUUACCAAGGCUUUGACGGGUAGCCGGCCUGAGAGGGUGACCGGCCACAUUGGGACUGAGAUACGGCCCAGACUCCUACGGGAGGCAGCAGUGGGGAAUAUUGCACAAUGGGCGGAAGCCUGAUGCAACAACGCCGCGUGCGGGAUGACGGCCUUCGGGUUGUAAACCGCUUUCGCCUGUGACGAAGCGUGAGUGACGGUAAUGGGUAAAGAAGCACCGGCUAACUACGUGCCACCAGCCGCGGUGAUACGUAGGGUGCGAGCGUUGUCCGGAUUUAUUGGGCGUAAAGGGCUCGUAGGUGGUUGAUCGCGUCGGAAGUGUAAUCUUGGGGCUUAACCCUGAGCGUGCUUUCGAUACGGGUUGACUUGAGGAAGGUAGGGGAGAAUGGAAUUCCUGGUGGAGCGGUGGAAUGCGCAGAUAUCAGGAGGGACACCAGUGGCGAAGGCGGUUCUCUGGGCCUUUCCUGACGCUGAGGAGCGAAAGCGUGGGGAGCGAACAGGCUUAGAUACCCUGGUAGUCCACGCUGUAAACGGUGGGUACUAGGUGUGGGGUCCAUUCCACGGGUUCCGUGCCGUAGCUAACGCUUUAAGUACCCCGCCUGGGGAGUACGGCCGCAAGGCUAAAACUCAAAGGAAUUGACGGGGCCCCGCACAAGCGGCGGAGCAUGCGGAUUAAUUCGAUGCAACGCGUAGAACCUUACCUGGGUUUGACAUGGAUCGGGAGUGCUCAGAGAUGGGUGUGCCUCUUUUGGGGUCGGUUCACAGGUGGUGCAUGCCUGUCGUCAGCUCGUGUCGUGAGAUGUUGGGUUAAGUCCCGCAACGAGCGCAACCCUUGUUCACUGUUGCCAGCACGUUAUGGUGGGGACUCAGUGGAGACCGCCGGGGUCAACUCGGAGGAAGGUGGGGAUGACGUCAAGUCCUCAUGCCCCUUAUGUCCAGGGCUUCACGCAUGCUACAAUGGCUGGUACAGAGAGUGGCGAGCCUGUGAGGGUGAGCGAAUCUCGGAAAGCCGGUCUCAGUUCGGAUUGGGGUCUGCAACUCGACCUCAUGAAGUCGGAGUCGCUAGUAAUCGCAAAUCAGCAACGCUGCGGUGAAUCCGUUCCCGGGGCC
rnacentral:rRNA from 1 species